UCCCUACGGGGGGCAGCAGUGGGGAAUUUUGGACAAUGGGCGCAAGCCUGAUCCAGCUAUUCCGCGUGUGGGAUGACGGCCCUCGGGUUGUAAACCACUUUAGUAGAGAACGAAAAGGAGCUAUCGAAUAAAUAGCUCUGCUGACGGUACUCUAAGAAUAAGCACCGGCUAACUACGUGCCAGCAGCCGCGGUAAUACGGAGGAUGCGAGCGUUAUCCGGAUUUAUUGGGUUUAAAGGGUGCGUAGGCGGGUUAUCAAGUCAGCGGUAAAAUCGUGGA
rnacentral:rRNA from 1 species